AAAGUACUCCCUCCGUCCCAAAAUUCUUGUCUUAGAUUUGUCUACAUACGGAUGUAUCAAGUCACAUUUUAGUAUUAGAUACAUCCAUAUCUAGACAAAUCUAAGACAAGAAAUUUGGGACAGAGGGAGUAGUUG
rnacentral:pre_miRNA from 1 species